GUCUGCAACCCGACUACAUGAAGCUGGAAUCGCUAGUAAUCGCGAAUCAGAAUGUCGCGGUGAAUACGUUCCCGGGUCUUGUACACACCGCCCGUCACACCAUGGGAGUCGGAAAUGCCCGAAGUCAGUGACCUAACCGAAAGGGAGGAGCUGCCGAAGGUGGAGCCGGUAACUGGGGUGAAGUCGUAACAAGGUACC
rnacentral:rRNA from 1 species